AGGCGCGUAGCUCAGUGGUAGAGCAUCACCUUGACAUGGUGGUGGUCGCUGGUUCGAUCCCAGUCGCGCCUACCA
rnacentral:tRNA from 1 species